rnacentral:piRNA from 2 species
CACAGCCAUUGUAGCAAAGAUACUUCUGCA